rnacentral:misc_RNA from 1 species
UCAUUAAAGCGUUGCCGACGUCGGCCCCGGCCCCCAGGCUUGAGAUACAGUCUGGGCGGCUCUGGAGGCCACCGGCAGUUGCCCCAUUCUUGUCUACUUACCUAGUUGCCUCGGCGGGCCGUUCCGCCCGCGGCCGGCCGGAAGCCGUCUGGACCUUAGGGUUCCGGCGGACCUGGUCUGCGCCCGCCGAAGGACAAUCUAAAACUCAUUAUAUAUUGGCCGUCUGAGCGUUAAAGCAAAUCAAUUAAAACUUUCAACAACGGAUCUCUUGGUUCCGGCAUCGAUGAAGAACGCAGCGAAAUGCGAUAAGUAAUGUGAAUUGCAGAAUUCCGUGAAUCAUCGAAUCUUUGAACGCACAUUGCGCCCCCUGGUAUUCCGGGGGGCAUGCCUGUUCGAGCGUCAUUGCAACCCUCAAGCUCGGCUUGUGUGAUGGACGAUCGUCCUGCCUCUAGGGGUGGGACGCGCCCGAAAAGCAGUGGCUAGGCCGCGAUUCUGGCGCCUGAGCGAAUGGGAUUUCCACCGCUUCUAGGACCGGCCGGCACUUGGUCUUUAACUGGAGUUCCUAACGGACUCUUUUAAGGUUGACCUCGGAUCAGGUAGGGAUACCCGCUGAACUUAAGCAUAUCA